AUAUUUAAGCGUGUGUUUGUGUCUCUGCUUCCAGGCAACGAGCUGCUGUCCCUGGAGAACAAGAAGGGGAGGAACAAAAGUGCAGCGGUGACGUUUGUCAAUAAAGACUGGGCCUGCAGUGAGAAAGCCAAAGCAGAGAAGCUGAAGAAGAGAUGGAUCCACAAGCAGCAGAUCCCCUGCUGACGACAUCAACAUAACAUCCACCAGAGGAGCCUUUACGGUGAAUUGAAUGCACGGAAACCUGGAGGAGGACGUGAGGAAAGGAGGUGGACGGACUGAUAUUGACUUAUUAUGGGAUUUGCAACAACUCAAAUAAAGAUUCAAGAUGCAUCUGUUCGAAAUGAUGUAACAUCAAAUAUCACAAUAUUUCUGUUCGUACAUCUCUGUCCAUCGUGUGAAUAUAUUGUGGGGUUGACUAUUGUUUUUGAUUAAUAAACAGUUUGUAACCUUACUUUACUUUAAUGCAGCCGAUACGACCAGGAAAAUAAUCUUAAUCUGUUCCGAUAUCACAAGUCUAACAGGAUAUCUAAAUAAUGUCAUUCAUCGUCUAGCCCUAACUCACGGGAAAAGAAACGGGAACAUUUGCAGCAGAUCAUUUUUUGGUAUUUUUCAAAACGUUCCUCUUGUUUCUGAACUGAGACGUUUCUACAUCAGUUCAUUAAAGAGCAGGACGUGUGGAUUCACAGGUAGACUUCCCACCUGUAGAUCACAUGACCUGCUCUUCGUUUUCUGUUCCAUUAAAAGCCUGUUAUUUCUGUAAAUAUGUUUGAAAGACUGAGAUGUGAUUAAAAGCUCAAAGAAAAAUGAGUUGACUUGUUUUUAUGCGAAGGUCUACAAUAAAACUGUUUCUCUAA